rnacentral:rRNA from 1 species
UACGGGGGGAGCAAGCGUUGUUCGGAUUUACUGGGCGUAAAGGGCGCGUAGGCGGCGUGACAAGUCACUUGUGAAAUCUCCGGGCUUAACCCGGAGCGGCCAAGUGAUACUGUCGUGCUAGAGUGCGGAAGGGGCUACUGGAAUUCUCGGUGUAGCGGUGAAAUGCGUAGAUAUCGAGAGGAACACCUGCGGCGAAGGCGGGUAGCUGGGCCGACACUGACGCUGAGGCGCGAAAGCCAGGGGAGCAAACAGG